CUGGGCUUCCCUGGAUAAAAUACUGCAGUGUUACCUUGGUUGCUGUUAGAAUGACAAAAGAGCAAAAGUCGGACAGCGAAUGAGAUUCUAGAGCAAGAUGAGUUCCCAUGAAAGGGGAAGAGAGAGAGAGGGAGAGAUGGAGUUCUGGGUGGAACCUGGACAGCUCAGGACACCUGGGCCCAACACCAGAUCUGAAGGAGGUCGCUGGUCUGAUGCAGAUUUGAGGCGUGUUCAUUUGGGACUGAGGAGCAACUUUCUGCUUGAUAGAGGACUUAGCAAUCUAGCA